CCGCAUGGUUCAAGGAUGAAAGACGGUUUCGGCUGUCACUUACAGAUGGACCGCGGCGCAUUAGCUAGUUGGUGGGGUAAUGGCUCACCAAGGCGACGAUGCGUAGCCGACCUGAGAGGGUGAUCGGCCACACUGGGACUGAGACACGGCCCAGACUCCUACGGGAGGCAGCAGUAGGGAUCUUCCGCAAUGGACGAAAGUCUGACGGAGCAACGCCGCGUGAGUGAUGAAGGUUUUCGGAUCGUAAAGCUCUGUUGUUAGGGAAGAACAAGUGCGAGAGUAACUGCUCGCACUGACGGUACCUAACAGAAAGCCACGGCUAACUACGUGCCAGCAGCCGCGGUAAUACGUAGGUGGCAAGCGUUGUCCGGAAUUAUUGGGCGUAAAGGGCUCGCAGGCGGUUUCUUAAGUCUGAUGUGAAAGCCCCCGGCUCACCGGGGAGGGUCAUUGGAAACUGGGAAACUUGAGUGCAGAAGAGGAGAGUGGAAUUCCACGUGUAGCGGUGAAAUGCGUAGAGAUGUGGAGGAACACCAGUGGCGAAGGCGACUCUCUGGUCUGUACUGACGCUGAGGAGCGAAAGCGUGGGGAGCGAACAGGAUUAGAUACCCUGGUAGUCCACGCCGUAAACGAUGAGUGCUAGAGUGUUAGGGGGUUUCCGCCCCUUAGUGCUGCAGCUAACGCAUAAGC
rnacentral:rRNA from 1 species